AUUGAACGCUGGCGGCAGGCCUAACACAUGCAAGUCGAACGCUUUGCGGACUGGUGAGUAAUGUCUGUGAAACUGCCUGCUAGAGGGGGAUAACUACUGUAACCGGUAGCUAAUACCGCCUACCAUCGUCUAUUCCCAGCUGGGAUUAGCUAGUAGGUGGGGUAAAGGCUCACCUAGGCGACGCUCCCUAGCUGGUCUGCGAGGAUGACCAGCAACACUGGAACUGAGACACGGUCCAGAGUACUAAGUGAGGCAGCAGUGGGGAAUAUUGCACAAGGGGCGCAAGACUGAUGCAGCCAUGCCGCGUGUAUGAAGAAGGCAUUCGGGUUGUAAAGUACUUUCAGCGGGGAGGCGUUACCCGCAGAAGAAGAACCGGCUAACUCCGUGCCAGCAGCCGCGGUAAUAC
rnacentral:rRNA from 1 species